rnacentral:rRNA from 1 species
AUUGAACGCUGGCGGCAGGCCUAACACAUGCAAGUCGAACGAGUGGCGGACGGGUGAGUAAUGUCUGGGAAAUUGCCUGAUGGAGGGGGAUAACUACUGGAAACGGUAGCUAAUACCGCAUACCAUCGGAUGUGCCCAGAUGGGAUUAGCUAGUAGGUGGGGUAACGGUUCACCUAGGCGACGAUCCCUAGCUGGUCUGCGAGGAUGACCAGCAACACUGGAACUGAGCCACGGUCCAGCCUCCUACGUGAGGCAGAAGUGGGGAAUAUUGAACAAUGGGCGCAAGCCUGAUGCAGCCAUGCCGCGGGUGUGAAGAAGGCCUUCGGGUUGUAAAGCACUUUCAGCGGGGAGGCGUUAACCGCAGAAGAAGCACCGGCUAACUCCGUGCCAGCAGCCGCGGUAAUAC